GUAACCCAGACAGGCGUGGCUCAUCCAUGCUUCUGGCUCCACCUCGUCUGAGAAGAUUUCCCACCUUCUGACUCAUUAGCUAAUGUAUCCAUCUCAUCCAGGACUUUGAACUUCUGAGGAUAAAAACAGGUAAGCUCUGCUUAUCUCUAUAGUGCUAGGCAAAUCCACAAUCAAUGUUUAAAAAGCAAUCUAAGAAAUGAAUGAAAAACAAACAAAAGAGCUGGCUUGCCACAACAUUAAGCAGCCCAUAGUUCAAGCUGCUACCUUGGUCUGUCACUUAAGGCAGUAGGCAUAACUGCCUCAUCUACUUUGUAUUUCCUUAUAACUGUUCGUUUUGCAUCUGCUGAAAUGGAAUGACUUCACUAGAGACCUGAAGUAGUCUGGUGAGGUGGGCUCUGCCCUCUGCAGCACACAUGGCUUGUCUUCUAGACUCCAGCUAGCCCCACCACACUGUUACUGCUGUUCUUGGUGGUCUUGCCAUAGUACUCCAAUCUCCCAAAAGGGUGGAGUACCUUGUUGCAUCUAGGUCGCACCUUCACCAGUGGCUUUUUCUGGCCUCCCACAAUGCCAAGCUUCAGUUGUUCUCCAUGACUCCUUCAUGCCU
rnacentral:lncRNA from 1 species